rnacentral:rRNA from 1 species
UACGGGGGGGGCAAGCGUUGUUCGGAAUUACUGGGCGUAAAGGGCUCGUAGGCGGCCAACUAAGUCAGACGUGAAAUCCCCAGGCUUAACCUGGGAACUGCAUUCGAGACUGCAUUGCUAGAGUAUGGGAGAGGGAAGUGGAAUUUCCAGUGUAGCGGUGAAAUGCGUAGAUAUCGGAAGGAACAUCAGUGGCGAAAGCGACUUCCUGGACCAAUACUGACGCUCAUGUGCGAAAGCGUGGGGAGCAAACAGG